CACACAGCCCCUAGCAGCCUGCACACACACUCACUCACACACAAACACCACAAACUACAAAAACCACAAAAACCUGCUCCUCCAACAGCACUCCCACUGAAACUCCCCUGUUAGCCGCUCUGUUCGCCGCCUCCUGUGCCGCUGCAGCUGCCUGAGUGCCUGGCUCCUUAUAUAGGACCCCUAAUCAGGUAAGCCCCGCCCCCAACUCAGGGCUCAGCCUCGCUCUCAGCACACAGCCCCUAGCAGCCUGCACACACACUCACUCACACACAAACACCACAAACUACAAAAACCACAAAAACCUGCUCCUCCAACAGCACUCCCACUGAAACUCCCCUGUUAGCCGCUCUGUUCGCCGCCUCCUGUGCCGCUGCAGCUGCCUGAGUGCCUGGCUCCUUAUAUAGGACCCCUAAUCAGGUAAGCCCCGCCCCCAACUCAGGGCUCAGCCUCGCUCUCAGCACACAGCCCCUAGCAGCCUGCACACACACUCACUCACACACAAACACGCAAACUACAAAAACCACAAAAACCUGCUCCUCCAACAGCACUCCCACUGAAACUCCCCUGUUAGCCGCUCUGUUCGCCGCCGCUGCAGCUGACUGUGCCGCUGCCUGAGUGCCUGGCUCCUUAUAUAGGACCCCUAAUCAGGUAAGCCCCGCCCCCAACUCAGGGCUCAGCCUCGCUCUCAGCACACA